AAUGAACGCUGGCGGCAUGCCUAACACAUGCAAGUCGAACGAAUGCCCUUCGGGUGUUAGUGGCGCACGGGUGCGUAACGCGUGGGAAGUCUACCCCUUCGGUUCGGAAUAACAGUUGGAACGACUGCUAAUACCGGAUGAUGACGUAAGUCCAAAGAUUUAUCGCCGAGGGAUGAGCCCGCGUAGGAUUAGGUAGUUGGUGUGGUAAAGGCGCACCAAGCCGACGAUCCUUAGCUGGUCUGAGAGGAUGAUCAGCCACACUGGGACUGAGACACGGCCCAGACUCCUACGGGAGGCAGCAGUGGGGAAUAUUGGACAAUGGGCGAAAGCCUGAUCCAGCAAUGCCGCGUGAGUGAUGAAGG
rnacentral:rRNA from 1 species